rnacentral:rRNA from 1 species
GACAGAGGGGGCAAGCGUUGCUCGGAAUUACUGGGCGUAAAGGGCUCGUAGGUGGCCAACUAAGUCAGACGUGAAAUCCCUCGGCUUAACCGGGGAACUGCGUCUGAUACUGGAUGGCUUGAGAUUGGGAGAGGGAUGCGGAAUUCCAGGUGUAGCGGUGAAAUGCGUAGAUAUCUGGAGGAACACCGGUGGCGAAGGCGGCGUUCUGGACUGCAACUGACACUGAGGAACGAAAGCCAGGGGAGCAAACGGG